ACGCUGGCGGCGCGUCUUAGCAUGCAAGUCGUACGGCAAGAGAGGAGCUUGCUUCUCUCCUAGAGUGGCGGACUGGUGAGGAACACGUGGGUAAUCUACCCUUAAGUUGGGGAUAGCUGCUAGAAAUAGCAGAUAAUACCGAAUACACUCGGUCUUUCAUAAGAGAGGUUGAGGAAAGAGGCUACGGCCUCGCUUGAGGAUGAGCUUGCGUCCCAUUAGCUAGUUGGUGAGGUAAAGGCUCACCAAGGCAACGAUGGGUAUCCGGCCUGAGAGGGUGAUCGGACACAUUGGGACUGAGAUACGGCCCAAACUCCUACGGGAGGCAGCAGCUAAGAAUAUUCCGCAAUGGACGAAAGUCUGACGGAGCGACGCCGCGUGGAUGAAGAAGGCUGAAAAGUUGUAAAAUCCUUUUGUUGAUGAAGAAUAAGGAUAAGAGGGAAUGCCUAUCUGAUGACGGUAAUCAGCGAAUAAGCCCCGGCUAAUUACGUGCCAGCAGCCGCGGUAACACGUAAGGGGCGAGCGUUGUUCGGAAUUAUUGGGCGUAAAGGGCAUGUAGGCGGUUAUGUAAGCCUGAUGUGAAAUCCUAGAGCUUAACUCUAGAAUAGCAUUGGGUACUGUAUAACUUGAAUUACGGAAGGGAAGCUGGAAUUCCAAGUGUAGGGGUGGAAUCUGUAGAUAUUUGGAAGAACACCGGUGGCGAAGGCGGGUUUCUGGCCGAUAAUUGACGCUGAGAUGCGAAAGUGUGGGGAUCGAACAGGAUUAGAUACCCUGGUAGUCCACACCGUAAACGAUGUACACUAGGUGUUGGGGUAAGAGCUUCAGUGCCAAAGCAAACGCGAUAAGUGUACCGCCUGGGGAGUAUGCCCGCAAGGGUGAAACUCAAAGGAAUUGACGGGGGCCCGCACAAGCG
rnacentral:rRNA from 1 species